rnacentral:rRNA from 1 species
UACGAAGGGGGCUAGCGUUGCUCGGAAUUACUGGGCGUAAAGGGCGCGUAGGCGGACAGUUUAGUCAGAGGUGAAAGCCCAGGGCUCAACCUCGAGACGCCGAUGGAAACCGCAUGGCUAGAGUCCGGAAGAGGAGAGUGGAAUUCCUGGUGUAGCGGUGAAAUGCGCAGAUAUCAGGAAGAACACCCGUGGCUAAGGCGGCUCUCUAGUACGGUACUGACGCUGAGACGCGAAAGCGUGGGGAGCGAACAGG